rnacentral:lncRNA from 1 species
CCGAUGGCUGAUGAAGAGUCUUAAUGCUCAUGGACUAUGAGUCCUACAUAUCUGAGACUCUGUGAUUGAGAAUCAGGAUUCUCUGAUCAUGAGUUCCACACAUUUUGGGUACUGGGUUCAAGAGUCCCACUGGUUUGGGACUCUUCGAUCAAAGUUUCAUAUCGAUAAAUUCUGAUGCCCGAUUGCCCAUCGGAUUUAGACUCAGUAUUUAUGAGAGAUUUAAUUAAUGAUUUGAUCACUAAUUAACUCAAUUUAAUUAAGUAAUUAUUUUUAGAUCAAGUCCAAUUG